GGGGAGCAAGUGCACAGUGACUCCUGUUGUUGAUUUAACAAUUGACACUCUUAUUUAUGACAUCAUUCUAAGGAAGGAGCCACUUCUGAGUUUACUAGUGUGGUGUCUGGCCAGCCUCAGAUCCUCAUGGGUGACCGUGAGACAUCACCACCUGGAGACAGGUGAUGCUCCAGGUCAUCCCGGCACCUUCCCAGCUACUGUCAUCACUUGGCCAUCCACGGGGAUCUGCCUGGCCUGGGGCUGCGAAUCUCCAGAAUUGAAUUAUUGCGCUAAGAGGUUUACUGCAGUGUAG
rnacentral:lncRNA from 1 species